rnacentral:rRNA from 1 species
UACGUAGGUGGCGAGCGUUGUCCGGAUUUACUGGGCGUAAAGAGCGCGCAGGCGGUCGUGCAAGUCGCGUGUGAAAGCCCCCGGCUCAACUGGGGAGGGUCACGCGAUACUGCUCGACUGGAAGGCAGGAGAGGGAAGUGGAAUUCCUGGUGUAGCGGUGGAAUGCGCAGAUAUCAGGAGGAACACCGAUGGCGAAGGCAGAUCUCUGGGCCGUAACUGACGCUGAGGAGCGAAAGCAUGGGGAGCGAACAGG